CGUAACAAGGUUUCCGUAGGUGAACCUGCGGAAGGAUCAUUGUCGAACUUUGCACCGCAGAACGACCCGUGAACACGUUUGUACACACGCCCGGGGCGGGGCAGGCGCGAGCCCGUCCCCCGUCCCGUCCCCGGUUGGGGGGGAUCCGUUUGGCUCGGUGGCUCGUCGUGCCUCGCGCGCGUCCGAGCGUCGUCCUACGGCGAUCCCUCGAUCGGACAACGAACCCCGGCGCGGAACGCGCCAAGGAAGCAUACACAAAAGCGAUUCUCCCCCUUCGGCCCGGGCAUCGGGCCGGUCGGGGGGGCCGUCGUGGUUGGUUUAAAACAAAACCUAAACGACUCUCGGCAACGGAUAUCUAGGCUCUCGCAUCGAUGAAGAACGUAGCAAAAUGCGAUACUUGGUGUGAAUUGCAGAAUCCCGUGAAUCAUCGAGUCUUUGAACGCAAGUUGCGCCCGAAGCCAUCAGGCCGAGGGCACGCCUGCCUGGGCGUCUCGCACUCGUCGCCCCCACCCUCCCCCUCCGGGGGCAGGGAAUCGGGGGGCGGAUAAUGGCCUCCCGUGGACUCUCGCGUGUGCGGUUGGCCCAAAAACGGUCCCGAGGCGGCUCGCGCCACGACAGUCGGUGGUCACGCACUAGCUCCUUGUCGUGCGCGGCGUGUCGUCUCGUCCACGUCCCUUUCGGAGGGAAGACCCGAGACACUCGAUCGUGACCCAGGUCAGCGGGAUUACCCGCUGAGUUUAAGCAUAUCAAUAA
rnacentral:rRNA from 1 species